AGUGAUAAAGUGAAAAGCCAAUAACUUACCGGUAAGUUAUAGGCUUUUUACUCCUUCACUUAUAAGACCGUUAACUAUUGAUUUUUCACGCUAUAACUUACCAGUAAGUUAUAGGCUUUUCAUUCCAUCACUUACAUGACGGUUAUAUAUCGGCUUUUACUCUAUAACUUACCGGUAAGUUAUUGGCUUUUCACUCC
rnacentral:miRNA from 1 species